rnacentral:rRNA from 1 species
CCUACGGGAGGCAUCAGUGAGGAAUAUUGGUCAAUGGGCGCGAGCCUGAACCAGCCAAGCCGCGUGAGGGAAGACGGCUCUAUGGAUUGUAAACUUCUUUUGUCGGGGAGCAAAAGACGCCACGCGUGGCGUUCCGAGAGUACCCUAAGAAAAAGCAUCGGCUAACUCCGUGCCAGCAGCCGCGGUAAUACGGGGGAUGCGAGCGUUAUCCGGUUUUAUUGGGGUUAAAGGGUGCGCAGGGGGAAGAUAAAGUCAGCGGUAAAAUUGAGGGGCUCAACCUCUUCGAGCAGUUGAAACUGGGUUUCUUGAGUACGGGAGAGGUAGGCGGAAUGCGUGGUGUAGCGGUGAAAUGCAUAGAUAGCACGCAGAACUCCGAUUGCGAAGGCAGCAUACCGGAGCUCAACUGACGCUGAUGCACGAAAGUGUGGGUAUCGAACAGGAUUAGAUACCCCGGUAGUC